rnacentral:tRNA from 1 species
GCUGUGGCUCAGUGGUAGAGCACUUGCCUGCUACGUGUGAGGCACUGGGUUCGAUUCUCAGCACUGCA